rnacentral:rRNA from 1 species
UGUGAUUCCCCCCGUAUUAUAUGGUGAUGGUAAAGAAUUAACCCUGCCUGUGUAAAUUUAAAGGCCCAGUAGGAUGAAACUGCCGGCGGCUCCUUAUUACCGUAAUAGUUUUUUUGGUUAGUUGGUACAAGGAUAACUUUGUGAAAGAUAAAAGUUAUUCCUGAGACGAUUCGGGGAGUAUUUAUACUUUUUGGCCCUCGGCCGCGAGGUUGGGGAAAAACGACAUUUUCUUGUGAAAAAGGAUGCCGCGACAAUUGAGGAAAGCGACGCUUUUAACAAGUAACCAAUGGGAAUUUUUGAUCUAUCAAUUUGUUGGUAGUAUCGAGGACUACCAAGAUUAUAACGGAUAACGAGGAAUUGGGGUUCGACAUCGGAGAGGGAGCUUUACAGAUGGCUACCACUUUUAAGGAAGGCAGCAGGCGCGUAAAUUACCCACUUUCGACCCGAAGAGGUAGUGACGACAAAUAACUCUUGGCGCCCCUCGGGGUGACUUGAAGGAAUGAUUUAGAAGUAAAUUCUCUAAAGAAAUCAAUGGAGGCAAGUCUGCAACCC